rnacentral:rRNA from 1 species
AUGACCGGCAAAAGAAGCCUUCUUAUGGACUCAACCUUACGUCCAUCCGACAAGAGCCACAUCACAUUUGCUGACACUGGUAAAAGUAAGGUAUUGGGUCUAGGUAGAGUUGCAAUCUCAAAGGAUCAACACAUGGAUAAAGUCAUGCUUGUUGAAUCUCUUGGCUUCAACUUAAUGUCUGUCUCAAUGCUUUGCGAUUUGAACAUGGUCGUAAUAUUUGGAAAAUAUCGUUGCCUGGUACUAAUGGAAUCUGACAAGUCUCUAGUGUUUGAAGGGUAUCGAAAAGAUGAUUUAUAUGUGGUAGAUUUCUCAGCAGGGCCACAGCUUGCAGUAUGUCUUCUUGCAAAAGCUUCAGAAUGCUGGCUUUGGCAUCGGAGGCUUGGGCAUGCUGGGAUGAGGAACCUCCACACCCUUGCGAAGAAGAAGCAUGUCAUAGGCAUCGAGGGCGUCAAGUUCAAGAAAGACCACUUAUGCGGUGCCUGUGAAGCAGGGAAGAUGACGAGGGCAAAACAUCCCUCGAAGACAAUCAUGACCACUACUCGACCCUUCGAACUGCUUCACAUGGAUCUUUUUGGUCCCACUCACUACUCAACUUUUUCCACUACUGCUUGCCUCUAUGGCUUUGUCAUUGUUGGUGAUUACUCUAGAUAUACUUGGGUGCACAUAAUCCUUUACAAGACUGAAGUGCAGGAUGUCUUCAGACGCUUCGCCAAUCGAGUUAUGAACAAUUAUGGCGCCAAGAUAAAGCACAUCAGAAGUGACAAUGGCACUGAAUUCAAGAACACUGGCCUUGAUACGUAUCUUGAUACCUUGGGCAUCACACAUGAAUUCUCAGCUCCGUACACGCCACAGCAGAAUGGCGUCGUCGAACGCAAGAAUAGAACACUCAUUGAGAUGACCAAAACGAUGCUAGAUGAAUACAAGACUCCAAGAAAAUUCUGGACUGAAGCUAUUGACACUGCAUGCCAUACAAUCAACCGCGUUUAUCUUCACAAGCUUCUGAACAAGACACCUUAUGAGCUACUAACUGGCAAGAAGCCAAAUGUCAGUUACUUCAGAGUAUUUGGCGCAAGAUGCUGGAUUAAGGACCCACACCAUACCUCAAAGUUUGCACCAAAAGCACAUGAGGGUUUUAUGCUCGGAUAUGGAAAGGAUUCACACUCCUACAGAGUCUUCAAUCUCUUUCACUACAAAGUGGUUGAAACAGUGGAUGUGCGGUUCGAUGAAACCAAUGGUUCACAAAGAGAGCAACUGCCAAAUGUGCUAGAUGAAGUUCCAGCCAGUGAAUCAAUCAAGCUUAUGGGAACUGGAAAGAUUAUACCUUCUGAAGCUCAUCCUGAAGAAGAACUUAUCAUCUCAGCACCUGAUCCACAUGAAGACAAUGCUCAGCCUGAAGACAUUCCUCCCAAUGACAACACAGAUCAGCAAGAGCAAAGUCUUCGCCUUGUACAUCCUUGUGUUGCCAAUGAAGUGCGGAUUGACAGAAUAAUUGACAGCAUCAAUGCACCUGGUCCACUCACUCGUUCAAGGGCAACUCAACUGGCAAAUUUCUGUGGGCACUUCGCAUUCGUCUCAAUUUCAGAACCCAAGAAAGUUGAAGAAGCCUUUAUGGAACCUGAAUGGAUUCAAGCAAUGCAAGAAGAGCUUCAACAAUUUGAGUUGAACAAUGUUUGGGAACUGGUUAAGCGUCCUGAUCCACGGAAGCACAAUAUAAUAGGCACCAAAUGGAUAUACCACAACAAGCAAGAUGAGCAUGGUCAAGUCGUCAGAAACAAAGCUCGCCUCGUUGCUCAAGGAUAUACUCAAGUGAAAGGCAUUGACUUCGAUGAAACAUUUGCUCCUGUGGCUAGACUUGAAGCCAUACGUAUACUGCUGGCCUAUGCAAAUCAUCACAACAUACUUCUGUAUCAAAUGGAUGUGAAGAGUGCCUUUCUCAAUGGCAAGAUUGAAGAAGAAGUGUAUGUUGCACAACCACCUGGGUUUAAAGAUCCAAAACAUCCUGACAUGGUAUACAAGCUCAACAAGGCACUGUAUGGCCUCAAACAAGCCCCUCGGGCCUGGUAUGACACACUCAAAUACUUCCUGAAGAGCAAAGGCUUCAUACCUGGUUCCCUAGAUCCCACUCUCUUCACGAAGACAUAUGAUGGUGAACUGUUUGUGUGCCAAAUAUAUGUGGAUGACAUUAUCUCCGGCUGCACCAAUUAG